UACGUAGGGUGCAAGCGUUAAUCGGAAUUACUGGGCGUAAAGCGUGCGCAGGUGGCUUCGCAAGUCAGGCGUGAAAUCCCCGAGCUCAACUUGGGAAUGGCGCUUGAAACUGCGAGGCUCGAGUGUGGCAGAGGGAGGUAGAAUUCCACGUGUAGCAGUGAAAUGCGUAGAUAUGUGGAGGAAUACCGAUGGCGAAGGCAGCCUCCUGGGCCAACACUGACGCUCAUGCACGAAAGCGUGGGGAGCAAACAGG
rnacentral:rRNA from 1 species